UAGGAGAUAGUGUAGUGGGAGCACGGAGGGGUUUGAUCUCUCAUGUAUAGGUUCAAGUCCUGUUUUUCUAA
rnacentral:tRNA from 1 species